AAAUGAAAUUUUAUUGGAAAAUAAAAAGAACAAAAAGGCUAAGAGCCUUAAAGGGAAGGAGUUAUUUACAGAAGUGAUGAGUGAAUAUUCAUGUCACUCCAUCCCCUAUUUAUAACACAUAAAAAACCUAGUUUGUUCCUAUUUAAACUCUAGAAGAUAAUACAAUAUAUAAUUUAAAAUUAAAUCUAAACAAUAUCAUAAUAAUCCUAACAAUAAUUCUAAAAAUAAAAUUUAAAUUUAAAUAAAGUCUUAUGUUCAUAAAUCUCUUCUUUCAAUUUUUACCCCAAGUCUUUCACACUUUAUAUUUUCGGCACCAUUUCUUCCUUAUUUCGCAUGCUGACUUGUUUUGUCUUUAAAUUCACGCUUUUUAUCCCCAAAUUUCCUUUUGCCGUCAAUUUAGUCCCUACAAGAUAAAAAACCACAAACAACCCAAAUUAGUAAGAACGUACUCAAAAUACAUUUGUAAUUAACAUAUAAAAGUAUGUCAUUUUAAAAUAUUAUUAGGAAGUUUGGAGCAAGAAGAUGGAACGGUAGCAAGCAUAGAAGAUGAAAUUGGGGAGCUUGCUACGGAAUAUUUUCAAAUUUUAUUUUCUUCAAAUGGGAUUGGUGAUCUAUUGCAUAUUUUAUCAGGGAUUAAUACUAGCAUCCUUCAUGAGGAGAAUCUUUUCCUUUUAGCAAAGUUUAUGGAGGAAGAUGUUUACAUGACAUUGAAAGAAAUGAGGUAGUUAUGUUUUUCUAGAAGUACUGGCAUAUUGUCAAGAAUGAUGUUCUUUGCUACUAUUUGGGGGUUCUUAAUGAAGGUAAUGAUCUUGAAUAUAAAAAUGUUAUUGAAAUUGCUCAUAUCCUUAAAAUUCCAAAUCCCAAAAACCUAACAAAUUUUAGACCUAUUAGUCUGUAUUCUGUUUAUAUAAAUUUGUGGCAAAAGUUUUAGCAAACCAACUUCAGGGCGUUAUUGGAAACUGUGUCGAUUGUGCUCAAAGUUCCUUUGUGCUGGGGAGAUUAAUUUUUGAUAAUGUUUUACUCGCUUAUGAAUUGUUUACACAUGUUUCGUUACAAGCGCACUGGAAAGAAGGGCUACAUGGUAAUUAAGCUAGAUAUGAGUAAAGCCUAUGAAAGGGUUGAAUGGGCUUUUCUAAAGGUGGUAACGUUAAAGAUGGGUUUUGCUUCUGAUUGGGUAAGGAUCAUAUUGAGAUGUAUUUCAUCGACUUCAUAAUCGGUAAAGGUUAAUGGUUGCACGGGAAAAAGAUUUCAGCCUUCAAGGGGACCCUCUUAGUCCUUUUUUAUUUCUCAUUCGUAGUGAAGGUCUUUCAGCUUUGAUGAGGUUGGCUAUGGAUGGUAGGCUUUUGAAAGGGGUUAAGGCUAGUAGAUGAGGGCCUAAAAUCUCACAUCUCUUGUUUAAGGAAGACAAUAUUCUAUCUCGGGAGGCAACAACAAGAGAUGCUCUUUUAUUGAAAGAUAUUCUUAAAGGAAUAUAAGAACUGUUCCUGUUAAUAUGUGAAUUUCAGUAAAUCAACAAUCUUCUUUAGUUCAAAUGCUCCUGAAGGGGAGAAGACUUGGGAUCAAAAUUGAUGAGGGUGUGUUUUUCCAACAAUGUUGAAAAGUAUUUAGGGCUGUCAAAUAUGGUGGGAAUAAAGAAGAAAGCAUAUUUUCAAAGCUUAAAAGAUAGGAUUAUGGAGAGAAUUGAGAAUUGGAGCAUGAGGCUUUUAUCACAAUGGGGAAAGAAAUUUUUUAUUAAAUCAGUCUUACAUGCAAUCCCCACAUAUGCAAUGUUGUGUUUUUUGCUGCCAAGGUCUUUUUGUGGAGAUAUUGGAAGCAUUAUAAUGAAAUAUUGGUGUCAAAAAGGACAGGGAAGGCGAGGGAUACAUUCGUGCGAAUGGAGACAUAUGUGUAGGUUGAAAUAGGAUGGGGGGAUAGGUUUUAAAAACAUGGGAAAGUUUAAUAUUUCUUUGCUGACCAAACAGGGGUGGAGGAUUAUAAACCAUCCAAAUUCACUUAUUGCGCAUGUGCUAAAAGCUAAAUACUUUCCAAUAUCUGAUUUUAUGGAUACUCUUUUAGGGAAUAAUCCGUUUUAUACUUGGAAAAGUAUUUAGGCGUCAAAAGGGGUUUUAAAUAAGGGCUUAUGCUGGCAUGUGGGUUUGGGGAAUAAAAUUUUAGUAUACGAUGAUGCAUGGAUUCCCGAUAAUGCAAAUUUUAAAAUAUCCAGAAAUAGUCGUAAUAUGCAGAAUUUAAUGGUGUUGGAGUUAAUAGAUUCUAAUGAAUGUAUCUGGAAGAAGGGGUUAAUAAAUAUUGAUACCUUCUUGCAGUCGGACGCUGUUAAUAUCCUUUAGAUUUUGCUUGCUCAGGAAGCCCAUGAAGAUUUUAUGGUAUGGGGUGGGGAGCCUUCGGGGGAGUUCUCUUUUUGCAGUGCCUACAAACUAUUACAAAAAAAUUUAGAGGAUCCUACUGCUUAUGCAUUACAGACCAGAUCUAGUGUUUUCUACAAACUUUUAUGGAACCUAGACCUCCCGGGGAAAAUUAAAAUUACUAUUUGGAAGAUUUCUUGGAACUAUCUACCUACACUUCCAAACUUGAAGUUUAAGAAGUUGGUCACAACUUCCUGCUGCCCUCGGCGUGCAAGUGCAGAGGAAUCAAUGGGUCAUUUGUUUCGGCGCUGUCCUAUAACAGUUGAAGUUUGGUCAGAAUUAAACUAUUUGCACUUUUUGAACAUUCAGUUUAUGGAGUUUGAAGAAUGGCUUACCUGGGUUUUCGACACUUGCACCACCCAUCAAAGGAAGAUGUUUUGCUGUGCACUCUAGGCUAUCUGGAAAGACAGAAACAGAAGGGUUCAUGAUAGAAAAAUUAUUACAGGCAAGGACACUGCAAAUUUUGUUUCUAAGUAUAUGGAAGAACUUAAAGGGUUGGAGGAAAACAUCUGUACUAAGAGAAGGGAGGAUGUGAGUUGGAAAGCUCCAUCGAGUUCAGUCAUCAAAAUAAAUUUUGAUAGUGCUUUUGAUGGUCGAAGAUUUCGAUCGGUGUCAGGAAUGGUUGCUAGGGAUGCAAGAGGAACAGUGUUGUUCACUCGUACGAGUUUCCAUGAGAAAGUAGUGUCUGCCUUUGCUGCUGAAGCUUUAGCUUGUCAACUCGCGAUGAGUACGGGUUUUGAUAAAGGAUGGAUACGAGUCAUUAUCGAAGGGGAUUCAUUAACAACAGUCAAGAAAUGUAUCGAAGGGGAUUCAUUAACAACAGUCAAGAAAUGUAAGUCUUUGAAACUUGAUAAAUCACAGAUUGGAGUUUUCAUAAGAAAUAUACAACAGAUGAAGAGUAAUUUUCAAGAAAUCAAUUUCAAUCAUGUUCCAAGAUCAACAAAUGAACUCGCUCAUGCUUUGGCAACAAAAAUGCUAAAAGGGGGGAAAUCGGUUUACCUGGAGGGGAAAGCAUUUUCGUUGAUGGAUCCCAGGACAACGAUGGGGAGAUCGAGAGAACCGGAUUGAUUGAGAAGGGAAAGUUUGAAGAAUGAGGGAAAGGAGUUUCUUUCUUUUGACGUCUGAUCUAUCUUUUUUGGACGCUCCUUCUUGGUUUUGUGAAACCAUCAGUUUUGAGCAUUGAUGGAUAUUUUUGGGACGGGGGAAAAACAAAGGAACUGAUUGGGAGUAAAGGUCGGUGUCUCACUGCUUCUAGAAUCCUCUUUGCUUUGGUUUUUGUGUAAUUGAUUUAUCAUGUGUGUUUUAGUUUUGUUUGAGUUUGCUUUUAGGUUUUGUUUGGUGUUUUGGGCUUACGUUUUUUUAGUUUUUUGGUUUUUGGAUUAAUGUGAAAAAAAGAAGAGGAAAGUAUUAGCAUGUACAAUUUGACCUUGUCGUUAGAAAAAAAUGUGACUGACCUUCAGGGAAGACUAU
rnacentral:lncRNA from 1 species